UCAUAAUAAUAAUGAUAUACAUAACAAGAACAGAAGAAUUUAACAUAAGAACAUAUGUACACGAAUCAAGCCUCAGAGGCUACAGGAAAAAUCCUCUGCUCCCCUUGGGGGUCGAACCCCCGGACGUCGCGUCCGUAGUCAGCCACUAUACUGACUGAACUAUCCGGCUCGCCAAAAAGAGUACUUUACAGAAAAAAACCCGAUACACUAUCUUCAAGAAAUAAAUUACGAAGAAAAAACUUUGAAAAGCCAGUAAACAGAAUUAUCUGAUUAUAAUAUUAUUAUUUGCUGAAAUAAAACACAGGGUGGAAAUUUUAAUACUUAUGUAAGUUAGACUCACUGAUCCAGAAGUGAACUGUUAAAGGAACAACCAUGAUCCUAAGUGGUGACUGGAAUAUAAAUUUUUCUCAAGAGUGCCUAAAGUCAAAUUAGCUAAGAGAUUUACUUCUAUUACACAAUCUGGUCAACACCGUAGUCCUUGCAACAAGAAUUACUAAAAGGUACUGAAUCAUACUUGAUGUGAUCAUUGUAAAUAAAAAUAAGUAAACUGAGCCGUCAGUAGUAAUGGACGUAGUCUUUUCAGAUCACUACAUUCAGGUAGAAUGAUGACAGUCCACAACAAGCAUGUCAUUCAGUUUAAUUUUAAAUAUUUUCUGCAUCUUGCGUUAAAAGUCAGUGAAAAGUUACGUCUUCGACAUCGACACAAAACAGGACAAAUCUGUGUUUCUUCACAUCCUGGUAUUUGGUACUUUAGAAUAAGACGCAAUGAAACAAAAAUAACGCUAUAAAUACCGCAACAGUGUCCGGGAAUCUCUCUUGCCUGUUUAAAAAUUUUAUCCAACAUUCUUCCGACGGGGCUGAUUCCAUACGCCGGUGAAAUUACUGGAGAUUAUCAGAGUGGGUAAUAGAUCCACAAUUGAUCAAGUUUUCUGCAUUCGCCAGAUUCUAGAGAAGUAGCAUUAUAUAUGGAUAACGUUUGUAUUAACCAUGCAGCUCUAAUUAAGAUACAUUGGAUUACUGUUAAGUGUUAACCAACAAGAGCAAGUUUAAGCAUUAGUAAACCAUAGGAAAUGGAUUGAAGCUAUGUAACGAAUAAUGAUGUUUACAUAUUUGUAACUUGGCAUCAUUCUCUGUGUUAGCUCUGACAAUGGUUAACGAGACCAAUCGAGGUCGAGAAUUCAAAGUCCUGUGCGCGACUAGCGUCGAAUGCUGCAGGGAAGACGGAAGUGCCCCGAGAAUAACUAUAAAACUUUGUUUGUUAAACUGAGGAACAUUCCAGAACUGGGUAAAUUCUGUGCACACGAUACGUGCUCAGAAAAUCAACGCAAGCUGUGUUUUUGGUCUGCAACAGACGGGUCUUACUGACAGCUCGGUCCAGUUCAGAAGCACCGUCUCCUCUAGACCUGAUCACGGAGUCCGUGGUUCACGUCGUGGCACUAAACCACUCCUGAACAGACCCUCAAAUCUGUAAUUAAAUUUACAGUUUUCUGAUUUGCAAUGGUGCACUCAAAUAUUGAUUUUGUUCCUCUUGAGCUCCACGUAAAUUUGUCAUUAAAUUGACAAAAGUCUGUUAGUUUUCUUCCAUUUUUAUUGACUUAACUUCCCCAUUCGUCCCAAAAAUGUUACUUACUUUCAUGUUUCCAAUCCUUACAUUUGGAUCACCCGUGAACAACACAUGGCCAUUUCUUUUAUUUGGUAUAAAAUGGAUUGUAGUUCUUCAUAAAAUUCAUCAUUCAGUUCAUUUAUUCCCUCUUCCAGUGCAUGCGGUCCUAAAAAUUUUGAGACAACCUCUUUUUAUUUUUAAUCUUGUUUCUAUAAUUUUAUCAUUCCAGAAUUUGUAAAAGUCCAUUGAUUUUGACAAUGAUUUAUGGAUCCAAAUCAUGACUCCCGGUUGGGAGCGUGCAUUUUCCCUUACUCCAAUGAAUAUGACAGAAUAAUUGUUGGUAUCUUUAAUUCCUUUUAACUUUUUCUUGCUUUCUGUUAUCACCGCGAUUUCGAUUUUACUUUCCUUUAAUAAGUGGCCCAGUUCUUCCUCUUUAGAAUAAAUUCCUCUCACAUUGCAUGUCGCGUAUUUCAUUUCUUUGCUCAAGUCGUCAACAGUAGAUAUUCCCGGCUGUUUAUUUUGAGGCUUGCAAGUAUUAGUCGGCGUCCCGAUGAGCACUCCAGUGAUGGGACUGCCAUCUUCCAGCCGCUGGACCGAGAUCUAUGUAAUUCUUUGAUUCUUCUUUGAGAUAUCAAUGAAGGUCACGUCUCUCAUGCAGAUUCUAACCGUUGCUGGACACCUUUGUUACAAUUAUUUGAAAUCAAAAGGGACAAAAAUAAGUCUGGUCGAGGUCGUCCUAUAAAUAACUGAUGUUUUGUGGAACGACGUCUGUACAGUUACCAACUACACACACUGCAUCAUAAAUCCUUAUCCCAACCAGCCCUGCCAUGAUAGAACACAACGCAACGUCUGCUCCUUCACCGGGCUUCCCUCAAUUUCCAGACUUUUACAUUUUCACAGCUGCAACAAAUAACAUUACGCCUGUCUGCGAUCUGAGCUCCCGUUUCAUCUAGCCGUUUAUUUUAUACCUUUAACAAUGAAGAAGAACAAACACGAUGAUUUCGACGAUUAUAUGACUUUGUCGUUUUAGAACUUAAUAGAAGUUAAUGGUUACUGCAAGCGACUUGAAACGCAGAACUACAAUUUCUGAAGCGUCCGUUACUGGUCCCUGCACAGGGUCAUUUGAACCAAGCCCAAAUUCUUGUAUCACACUUCCUUUCCAUUCACACAUAUGCGUCCUAAGAUCUAGCUCUGGGUCUCCCAGUCUUUGAGACUAAAAUUCUGUGUGCAUUUAAUUUAUCACAUACGUGCUACAUGUCCAGUCCGUUACACCAUCCCAUAAGUUAUCGCAUUAAUAGUAUUAGUCUAAAAGAUUAAAUUAGUCAUUUAUUAUCUUUACAGUAAAUAUAUAACACUUUAAUAUGACAAUUAAGGCCAGCAAAGAACGCCACGAAACACGACUUUACAAACCUACUAACGCAAUUGUGUUUACAGCUGAGGAUGGCUGUUCCGUGUAGUUAAAGGAGGUGCGUGACAUGGAAAAUAACAUUUCAAGGACCCCGAGUCCAGAGUCUUGUUCCUGACACUAGACGGGCCUAUGAAAAGUUUUCGGGCAAUAAACAUUGUCAAAUAUUGUUAUAGCCUGUCGAGGAGGUCACUCGGGUAGUCUUACUAAGAAAAUACAGGACGGUCGGAGUUCGAUUUCCGGUACGAGAAGUGAAGACUUAAGAAAACAGCUAGACAAAGAAGAAAUUUUGGUAUAAAUACGAGAAUAUCAAAAGAAAUGACAUAAUUGUGUAGAAAGGAUGACUUGUAAACCCCUUCCGUGGCAAAGGUACUUCCAUCAACCUACUGGAAUAUGUCCAAGAAGGAGAAGGAAACAUCAAUUCAAGAACAUAUUUUUUCAUUCAAAAGAGAAUCAUUAGAAUAAUGGCAGGCACUAAAAGGAGAGAAUCUUGCAGGAAAUUAUUUAAGAAGUUUAAUAUUCUUCCACUACCCAGUGAAUUCUUGCCCUUAAUAUUAUCGUUUGUAGUCGAUAA